UAGGUACAUCAUAUUAUAAUAAAAUUGGAACGAUACAAAGAAGAUUAGCAUAGCGCAAGGAUGACACGCAAAAUCGUGAAGCGUUCCAUAUUUUU